rnacentral:rRNA from 1 species
UACGGGGGGGAGCAAGCGUUGUUCGGAUUUACUGGGCGUAAAGGGCGCGUAGGCGGCGUGACAAGUCACUUGUGAAAUCUCCGGGCUUAACCCGGAGCGGCCAAGUGAUACUGUCGUGCUAGAGUGCGGAAGGGGCUACUGGAAUUCUCGGUGUAGCGGUGAAAUGCGUAGAUAUCGAGAGGAACACCUGCGGCGAAGGCGGGUAGCUGGGCCGACACUGACGCUGAUGCGCGAAAGCGUGGGGAGCAAACAGG